CCUACGGGUGGCAGCAGUGGGGAAUAUUGCGCAAUGGGCGAAAGCCUGACGCAGUGACGCCGCGUGAGGGAUGAAGGUCUUCGGAUCGUAAAGCUCUGUCAGCAGGGAAGAACGGUUACUGUGCUAAUCAGUAGUAAAUUGACGGUACCUGCUCAGGAAGCACCGGCUAACUCUGUGCCAGCAGCCGCGGUAAUACGAAGGGUGCGAGCGUUAAUCGGAAUUACUGGGCGUAAAGCGCUCGUAGGCGGUAUGUCAAGUCAAGGGUGAAAUCCCCGCGCUCAACGUGGGAACGGCCUUUGAAACUAGCAAACUGGAGUGUGAGAGAGGAUAGUGGAAUUCCAGGUGAAGGAGUGAAAUGCGUAGAUAUCUGGAGGAACAUCAGAGGCGAAGGCGACUAUCUGGCACAUUACUGACGCUGAGGAGCGAAAGCGUGGGUAGCAAACAGGAUUAGAUACCCCUGUAGUC
rnacentral:rRNA from 1 species